UGAGGCACGAAAGCGUGGGGAGCAAACAGGAUUAGAUACCCUGGUAGUCCACGCCGUAAACGAUGAGUACUAAAUGUUGGGUAAAACCAGUGUUGAAGUUAACACAUUAAGUACUCCGCCUGAGUAGUACGUACGCAAGUAUGAAACUUAAAGGAAUUGACGGGACUCCGCACAAGCGGUGGAUCAUGUUGUUUAAUUCGAAGGUACCCGAAAAACCUCACCAGGUCUUGACAUGCUUCUGCAAAGCUGUAGAAACACAGUGGAGGUUAUCAGUUGCACAGGUGGUGCAUGGUUGUCGUCAGCUCGUGUCGUGAGAUGUUGGGUUAAGUCCCGCAACGAGCGCAACCCUUAUUGUUAGUUGCCAGCACGUAAUGGUGGGGACUUUAGCAAGACUGCCAGUGAUAAAUUGGAGGAAGGUGGGGNNGACGUCAAAUCAUCAUGCCCCUUAU
rnacentral:rRNA from 1 species